UCCGGUUUGACACCGGCGGUCUCGUUAAAGUGCCCGACUUAACGCUGGCAACUAACGAUAAGGGUUUCGCUCGUUAAGGGACUUAACCCGACACUUCACAGCACGAGCUGACGACAGCCAUGCAGCACCUGUGCACGUUUCACCCGAAGGCAGCCGGCUCCACUUUCAUGGACGGCAUCCGUGCAUGUCAAGCCCAGGUAAGGUUCUUCGCGUUGCUUCGAAUUAAUCCACAUGCUCCUCCGCUUGUGUGAGCCCCCGUCAAUUCCUUUGAGUUUUAGCCUUGCGGCCGUACUCCCCAGGCGGCGCACUUAACACUUUUGCUUCGGAUCGAGGACCGUCAGAGGCUCUCGAACCUAGUGCGCAUCGUUUACGGCGUAGACUAC
rnacentral:misc_RNA from 1 species